CGGCGGCAAGCGCCCUGGGCAGUGGAGACGCGCCUUCCCGGCUCGGAUCGGCGCCCUGGGGAGGGUGGCCUUCCAGAGGAGUUGGGGAACCAGCUGGACGCUGGGCCGAGGCGUGCUCUAGGCGCUGGUAUCAUCCAGCUCUCCUGUGCCCGGGCGCCCCCAGCGGGUUCCGGGAGGUGCCCGGUGCGUCCAAUUCUCCCGCGCCGGAGGGCUGCUAGGACCAGCGGGAGCUGCAGAGUGCGGGAGUGGAGGACGCCCCGGCAGCCGCAGCCGCUGCGCCGGGAGCAGUAGCUGCAACCGGUCGCUGGCGGCGGACCGGCUGUGCGCAUUAGGCAGCGUUGCCGCUCCUCUCCGUCUGUCUCUGGCCACUCUGACAUCCCCUCCUCCCGGCCCCUCUCUGGAGUGGAGGGGAGGACUCCUAACCCGCGGCAAGCAACUCCCUUAGGGGAGGAAAAAGCUGCCUUGGACGAUCCUGGCCGCGGGACCCCUCCUCCCUGGGCGCCCCCAACCC
rnacentral:lncRNA from 1 species